UCCUCACAGGGACGCACCGAUCCUGAGGUUGGAAGAAGAGCUGCUUAAAUGCUGACCAGCUCUCACAGGCCCCCUUGCCUUCCAACACCCUAGCCCAUGAGACAGCUCCAAGCUCUUGAACUCCACCAUCUCGUGGUCACUACAACCCAAGCUGCCCCCGACCUUUACUUCCCUGACAAGCCCUUCUCUAUUAGUGAGAAUAAGGUCCAGCAGUACCCCUCUCCUCGUCGAUUCCUCAACCACCUGCAUCAGGAAGUUGUCUUCAACACAUUGCAGGAACCGUCUGGACCGCGCAUGCCUGGCCACAUUGCUUUUCCAGCAAAUAUCUGGAUAAUUGAAGU